AAUGACCCAUAUUUGUAGCCAUGUUGUGAUUUUAUUGGAGUGAGUGCAAACAUUCCAAGCACGCUGUGACAGGCUGGGGAACACUGGUUCUAACUUGAGGGAAUACAACAUGAAUACAUUAAGUGAAAAACAAAACAAAAGCACAGUACAUUAAAACCAAAGUUACAUCUGCAGGAUAAAAAAAAUACUAGACUUGAUUCUCAACCACAGGCUUCAGUGAAAUCUCACUGAUUCACAUCAUGUAUGAGGUAAAAAAAAUAAAUAGAGACUAGACAUAUCCAGCAUUAAAUGCCCUCCAUGCUUGGUAAUAAGACAGUAACAUGGUAAUAAUGGUAACAAGUAUAAUGAAAAUAUCAUCAUACAAAUUAAAUUACAUGAAAUGUUAAUCGUUUGGGUGACAAUGAACAUUACGUAAACAUUUAGAGUGUUUAGAAUAUCCAUGAAAUUACACUUAGUUGAACGCCCACCAAAAACUUCCAUUUCCCAAAGAUAAAAAAAGUUGGCGCGACAAGACAGUCAUUUAACAUCAGCUGAGGAGACACAGUGAGCACCAUAUAUUCAACAAUAGAUGAUUGAAAUACAACUGCUAGAAAGGAAAAGAGAACAUCAGGGAAGGAUUAGGAAAAUGUAAGGAAAGGUUGGGUGAUAGCAGAGGAUGUUGAUAGUCGGAUAAUAUUUAGCAAAAUCAAUUCACUAGUUUAAAGGUGAAGUUUCAUUUUGUGAAAAAUCCACAUGACCUACAAAAUGAAACCUUUUUUUUUCUCUACCAAUUUGAGAGAUCAUUUUAAGCAUGGAGUCAAUUCAAGUCUAACUGAAAUGUUACUAAUCAUAAUACUGCACACUAUUGAGGAUUAGAAACCUAACGAGCUCUGAGGCUCUGGAGUAAAAAUGAACAACGCGUUAUUUAGAGCGACCAAAAAUAGCUUUUAAGACAACUUUUAAAAAAGUUUUUUUU